rfam:Triticum aestivum genome assembly, contig: Triticum_aestivum_CS42_TGACv1_scaffold_223295_3B
AAACUACUCCCUCCGUCCCAAAAUUCUUGUCUUAGAUUUGUCUAAAUACAGAUGUAUCUAGUCACAUUUUAGUGUUAGAUACAUCCAUAUCUAGACAAAUCUAAGACGAGAAUUAUGGGACGGAGGGAGUACAAC